rnacentral:rRNA from 1 species
ACUCAAAUGAAUUGACGGGGGCCCGCACAAGCGGUGGAUUAUGUGGUUUAAUUCGAAGCAACGCGCAGAACCUUACCAGAUUUUGACAUACCUCUUUGGACUGAUAGAAAUAUCGGUUUUCAGUUCGGCUGGGGAGGAUACAGGUGCUGCAUGGCUGUCGUCAGCUCGUGUCGUGAGAUGUUGGGUUAAGUCCCGCAACGAGCGCAACCCUCGUCUUUAGUUGCCAUCAGGUCAAGCUGGGUACUCUAAAGAAACUGCCAGUGAUAAGCUGGAGGAAGGUGGGGAUGACGUCAAGUCCUCAUGGCCCUUACAGUCUGGGCUACACACGUAAUACAAUGGUGGUGACAAAGGGUCGCUACCCCGCAAGGGGACGCUAAUCUCUAAAAGCCAUCUCAGUUCGGAUUGUACUCUGCAACUCGAGUACAUGAAGUCGGAAUCGCUAGUAAUCGUGGAUCAGCAUGCCACGGUGAAUACGUUCCCGGGCCUUGCACACACCGCCCGU